AGGAAACUGAGGCACCAAGAGGUUAAGCAUUUGUGCCCAAGGAUACAGUUACCAAGCAAUGGAACCGUAUUUGAACCUAUGCCCAAAGCUGAAAGAUCAUUCUCUGAACCAUUAUGCUACGUGAUUCUCACAGUGACAGGUGCAUUAUGAGUCCUCAACAAAUAUUUGUUGCCAGAAUGAAUGAAGGAGCCAUCAAAAGAUAAAAGGGUGUCCUAAAGUCCUGAAAGUAAAAUCAGGAUCAGGAUCUCAUUAUGAAACUUCUUCACUGAUGAUUUGCUACCAGAAUUUUCGGGCUUCCCUGGUGGCGCAGUGGUUGAAAGUCUGCCUGCUAAUGCAGGGGACACGGGU